rnacentral:rRNA from 1 species
GAUGAACGCUGGCGGCGUGCCUAAUACAUGCAAGUCGAGCGAACAGACGAGGAGCUUGCUCCUCUGACGUUAGCGGCGGACGGGGGAGUAACACGUGGAUAACCUACCUAUAAGACUGGGAUAACUUCGGGAAACCGGAGCUAAUACCGGAUAAUAUAUUGAACCGCAUGGUUCAAUAGUGAAAGACGGUUUUGCUGUCACUUAUAGAUGGAUCCGCGCCGCAUUAGCUAGUUGGUAAGGUAACGGCUUACCAAGGCAACGAUGCGUAGCCGACCUGAGAGGGUGAUCGGCCACACUGGAACUGAGACACGGUCCAGACUACUACGGGAGGCAGCAGUAGGGAAUCUUACGCAAUGGGCGAAAGCUUGACGGAGCAACGCCGCGUGAGUGAUGAAGGUCUUCGGAUCGUAAAACUCUGUUAUUAGGGAAGAACAAAUGUGUAAGUAACUAUGCACGUCUUGACGGUACCUAAUCAGAAAGCCACGGCUAACUACGUG